CGUGCGCGUGGGCGAGGCGCUGCUCUACCCCGAUUCGGGCGGGCGGCUCGCGGUCGCCAUCAACGGCGGUUCCGCGGCGGCCGCGCUGGA
rnacentral:tRNA from 1 species